CCGGCGACCGGCGCACGGGUGAGUAACACGUAUGCAACCUGGCCGUGACAGAUGGAUAACUGGGAGAAAUCCCGCCUAAUACAACAUAAUGCCGGGAGGGGACAUCCCCUGCCGGUCAAAGGGGGCGACCCCGGUCACGGAUGGGCAUGCGGCGCAUUAGGUAGUUGGUGGGGCAACGGCCCACCAAGCCGACGAUGCGUAGGGGUUCUGAGAGGAAGGUCCCCCACAUUGGAACUGAGACACGGUCCAAACUCCUACGGGAGGCAGCAG
rnacentral:rRNA from 1 species